GGCACUCUGACCAGCCAUGCCGCGUGCAGGAAGACAGCCCUCUGGGUCGUAAACUGCUUUUAUUCGGGAAUAAACCUCAGUACGUGUACUGAGCUGAAUGUACCGAAGGAAUAAGGAUCGGCUAACUCCGUGCCAGCAGCCGCGGUAAUACGGAGGAUCCAAGCGUUAUCCGGAUUUAUUGGGUUUAAAGGGUGCGUAGGCGGCUUAUUAAGUCAGGGGUGAAAGACGGUGGCUCAACCAUCGCAGUGCCCUUGAUACUGAUGAGCUUGAAUACACUAGAGGUAGGCGGAAUGUGACAAGUAGCGGUGAAAUGCAUAGAUAUGUCACAGAACACCGAUUGCGAAGGCAGCUUACUAUGGUGUCAUUGACGCUGAGGCACGAAAGCGUGGGGAUCAAACAGGAUUAGAUACCCUGGUAGUCCACGCCCUAAACGAUGAAUACUCGCUGUUAGCGAUAUACAGUUAGCGGCUAAGCGAAAGCGUUAAGUAUUCCACCUGGGGAGUACGCCCGCAAGGGUGAAACUCAAAGGAAUUGACGGGGGCCCGCACAAGCGGAGGAGCAUGUGGUUUAAUUCGAUGAUACGCGAGGAACCUUACCCGGGCUUGAAAGUUAGUGAAUUAUCUAGAGAUAGAUAAGUGA
rnacentral:rRNA from 1 species